UGAACUAGGGGUGCUACCACGACGGCUACCUCCGUCGCCAGCUCAGCACCAAAUUCUCGCGACAGCUACAACUGCUCCAUAUUACCGAUGUAGCUUCCCAUCCCCAUCUGCUCCAUCGGUCCCUGCUCUCACCUUCGGUCGACCAUGCCUCCUUCGCCGCCCCAUUCCCCCGCCAGACCUUACCCCAUCACCAUCCCUCCCACCAUGCUGGUGUGGCAUUUUGGCUCAGGAAACAAGCUGCACGCGCGUCCCAGGCAUCGUCCCACUAGUAUCUUUCAUAUAGCAUAUUUCAAUCCAAUCGGCAACUGGAACUACAAAUAUGUAAUUUUCUUCCAUAGUUGCUAAUACCAGUGUUAUUCCAAUUGAAACAUGCAAUGCUUCUAUAUUAUAUUACAUAUCUUUUUUUCUUAUAUGUAAUUUGCUUCCAUAGUCCCAUCCUAUUCUUUGAUUAUUCAUUCUUCUAUUUCUGCCAGCACUGUUAUAAAAUAUACAUUGUCGUUGUCCUUCCUUCAUGCUAUUUUCAUCUCUGACAACGACACCCAGAUGGAUCCCCCGCACUGCUCCACACGACACGGCCCUUGGUCUGCCUGCAACCUGGGGCUUUGUCUUGAGUAGCCUGGCUGCACAUCCCAAUCCUUGUGGCAAGCUUUCCAAUUUGUGAAUUUAAUGACUUCUCGUAAGUGGUAGCACAAUUUUUGUGGUCUAUUUUCUUUGCUUCAACUAUAACUGAAAUUUGGGUUGACCAAUACCAUCCGUGCUUCUUACUUGUGGUUAAUAUUGCAUCAGGCAAUACUAGUUCAUGCUUCUUAUAUUUCCCAUAGUUAUUUCGAAUAGGUAGAUUUACCAUUUUUCAAAUUCUUGCUAGCAAUGAUUCGAAGUUUGUCAAUUUGUCUUUCCAUGCUUUUGAAUAAUUAUUUAAAGUACUAUCUAGCCAUGAUUGUCUGCAUGCGAAUCAUCUCCGGCAUGUUUCCAUUACUAACCUUUUUUUAUUUACUUUCAUUCUUCCAAACAUACCAGCGUAUGUUUAGGUAUCAGCUGACGGGUUUAUAGUUGAUAUUUAAGUAUGCUUCCAGUUGAGAUGAGUUAUGUUGGGAUAGCACUAUUUAGAUGUGUCUUACAUGCUGCGGAGUUUCUAAGUUAUAAAACAUAUGCUUCUUCGAGGUCCCUUGCUUCUUUUAUAAAAAAUGUUCACAUUAUUAUCACUGAUGUAAUAUGACACACUCACCAUAUGAUAUGACAUUUGUUUCUUUGGUCUACAUAUUUUGCUUUCAUAUAGAUUACUUACAUAUUUUUCAUAAUUGCCAGUGUACUACAAUUUAUAUGUUUUCAGUUCACCAGAAAUAAUGAACCAGAUCGACGAAGAGUUAUGCUGAAGCGAACGGCACAUUUUAUAAGGAGCGUCAUGACACUUGGAUCGGACCCCAGAUCUCAUGCUAGAUGUAGGGAAGCAAGUCUGUAGUCUAUAGGAAACUUACCAUAUGAACUGAAAAACAUUGUAUCGAAGGAAGCAUGUUUGUGGCACAUGAAGAUGGUGUAUGGAGCGCGGAAACAAACUUAUGUUUGGUUAGAAGCAAAUUAUUUUUGUGAUGAAAACACUUUUGUAUGGGAUGGAAGCAAAGUUUUCUUGUGUGGUAACAUAAUAAAAAAUAUGCAUGAGACCGA